CAGCCGCCGCGGGAAAACGUAGGGUGCAAGCGUUAAUCGGAAUUACUGGGCGUAAAGCGUGCGCAGGCGGUUCUAUAAGACAGAUGUGAAAUCCCCGGGCUCAACCUGGGAACUGCAUUUGUGACUGUAGAGCUGGAGUGCGGCAGAGGGGGAUGGAAUUCCGCGUGUAGCAGUGAAAUGCGUAGAUAUGCGGAGGAACACCGAUGGCGAAGGCAAUCCCCUGGGCCUGCACUGACGCUCAUGCACGAAAGCGUGGGGAGCAAACAGGAUUAGAGACCCCCGUAGUCCCUGUCUCUUAUAC
rnacentral:rRNA from 1 species